UACGAAGGGGGCUAGCGUUGUUCGGAAUUACUGGGCGUAAAGCGCGCGUAGGCGGUUUUGCAAGCCAGAGGUGAAAUGCCUGAGCUCAACUCAGGAAUGGCCUUUGGGACUGCGAGGCUUUGAGGACUGGAGAGGUGAGUGGAAUUCCCAGUGUAGAGGUGAAAUUCGUAGAUAUUGGGAAGAACACCGGUGGCGAAGGCGGCUCACUGGCCAGUUUCUGACGCUGUAGCGCGAAAGCGUGGAGAUCAAACAGG
rnacentral:rRNA from 1 species